UACAGAGGGGGCAAGCGUUGUUCGGAAUUACUGGGCGUAAAGGGCGCGUAGGCGGCCUGUUAAGUCGAACGUGAAAUCCCCGGGCUCAACCCGGGAACUGCGUCCGAUACUGGCAGGCUUGAAUCCGGGAGAGGGAUGUGGAAUUCCAGGUGUAGCGGUGGAAUGCGUAGAGAUCGGGAAGAACACCAAUGGCGAAGGCAGUCGGCUGGGCCGUUGCUGACACUGAGGCGCGACAGCGUGGGGAGCAAACAGG
rnacentral:rRNA from 1 species